AUUAAACGCUUAACUUUUACUACGUAAUACACCAAACUAUAAAAAGUUUUAUCAAAUGGACAAUGGUGAGAUUUUAUUAUUCCAAAAUAGAUGUUUGUCUCCCUACAUUUUCAUCUUUUGUACCGAAACAUUAUAUAAAAGAUAUGCAAAGUAGUAUGUAGUCAAAUGCUAUAUAUUAUUGUUUACAUUUGUUAAGAUAAUUGUUUACAUUUGUUAAGCUACGAAAAGAUGUUAAGCUAUAAGAGCGAUUUGCAUGAAAAAUAUCGAAUAAUUGAAAAUUUUGCAAGGAACAACAUUAGGCCAACUCCAACGCUAAUAACGC
rnacentral:lncRNA from 1 species